GGGGCUGUAGCUCAGUGGUAGAGCGUUUGCCUAGCGUGUAUGAGGCACUGGGUUUGAUCCUCAGCACCA
rfam:Ictidomys tridecemlineatus contig112022, whole genome shotgun sequence.